rnacentral:misc_RNA from 1 species
CACGAACCGUACGAACGUUAUUCGGAAUCACUGGGCUUAAAGAGUGCGUAGGCGGCCUAGCAGGUUGGGUGUGAAAUCCCUCGGCUCAACCGAGGAAUUGCGCUCAAAACCGCUAGGCUUGAGGGAGACAGAGGUGAGCGGAACUAAUGGUGGAGCGGUGAAAUGCGUUGAUAUCAUUAGGAACACCGGUGGCGAAGGCGGCUCACUGGGUCUCUUCUGACGCUGAGGCACGAAAGCUAGGGUAGCGAACGGG